rnacentral:rRNA from 1 species
ACGUAGGGGGCAAGCGUUGUCCGGAUUUACUGGGUGUAAAGGGUGCUCAGGCGGGGUUGUAAGUCGGAGGUGGACUCCCGUGGCUCAACUCCGGAACUGCCAUAGAAACUGCAAGCCUAGAGUACGGGAGAGGUUGGUGGAAUAUCUGGUGUAGCAGUGAAAUGCGUAGAUAUCAGAUAGAACACCGAUGGCGAAGGCAGACAACUGGUCCGUUACUGACGCUGAAGCACGAAAGUGUGGGGAGCGAACAG